rnacentral:lncRNA from 1 species
UUUGUGUUUGAGGUAUUCUGAUUGUUUAGCAUGUCCAUUUUAUUCUUUGGAUUAUUUAUUGUUCAUACUUAUCUUAGCAACUUAUGGACACUUUCAAAAGUGAGUUUUCUGCUGCACAUAUUUUGUAAAUUUUGAAAAAUUUAACUCAACCCCCCCCCCCCCAAAAAAAAAAAAACAAAGGAAUUAUUGAGAAUUAUCCAAGGAAGCAUGAUUUGGUAUAAUAGUGCGUCAAUAUUUGAACAUACAAUUUAACUUAGGUUGCUACAUUAAACUAAUGGCCUAAACUUUAGCCUAUGCACACAGAUAUAUCUACCAAUUUGUAAGGUAGAUAGUAUCACUCUAAUACUUUUUUUUUUUAAAUCUCUAAAUACCUCACAGCCAUCAUAUUGAGAGAAAUGCUGCAGUUUGAGGAAGCAUGGAGCAGGAAGAAUAUUCUUUUUGACAAAAAAAUCUGUAAACAUUAGAUUCCAAUUUUGAUUAUUUUAUGAAUAAUAAUUUUAAGAUUAAAAAUAUUUUACUAUUUAAUUAUUAUAGAUUGGAUUUAUAUUAAAAUUUAUUAUUUUUUUAAGUUCAAGUCUUCCUAGAACUUUAGCAUUAUUUUUUAUAUAUUUAUUUAUUUUAAAUAAAGGAUCCAUGUAUUGCACAUGCCACAUUGUAAUUAGAAUCGGAGAUAUUAGAACUAAGAUUUUUCGCAUGCCUUUCAUAUUGGAUUGGGGAAGCAUAGUAUGGAGAGUAUUAUUUUUUGACAAAAAAUCUAAAAGCCUCGGAUUCUAAUUUUGAUUAUUUUAAUUAAGAUAGUUUUCAGAUUAAGAUAUUUUAUUAUUUAAUCAUUAUAUAUCAUGUUUGUAUUAGAAAUAUCAUAACUAUUUUAUUACAUUUGUCUAUCAAAAAUUUAAGUCCUACAAGAAAACUUCUCUAACUUUUUUUUUGCAUUAUUAAUAUCCAGAGCAACAAAUUUUGUACUAUUUUCUAUAAGAGUUCGAGUCGAGUGAAUUUGAGGAAUUGCUUCCUUCUUCUCUCUUUAUUCGAAUCAUAGAAUAGCAAUACCACUAAAAUUCUCUUACCAAGAAUUCCAUUCAUGGAAUUGUGCCACCCAUUCUCGAGCUCUCAAUCCCACCACCCAAACAGGGGCUAUAGGGGAAGGAACUGAGAAAUUGGAUUUUAUGGGAUGAGAGUGGUUUAGCUCUGUUGCCAAAUGGAAACUGAAUAAUGCUUAGAACCCUCCUACAAUACAUUGCAUACUUUUGAGAUUUAUGCCCAUCUUUUUUAUUGUUUUUUUUUUUUUUUUUGUCUGAAAGCGGAUGUUUCAUAUAGUGCGUAUACGGAUACACCUAAAAAAGUCAAAAUACAACAAUUCGCAGAGUGCUAGUGGCAGCUCUCCCUCCCCUGACCAAAGAUUGUACCCUGAGUGGUGGGCCGCUAUCCAGUCGGCCGCCCCAUUGGCUUUUCUAAAUACAUGCUUGGCCUGAAAGACCCUCCCAUCUGUCAUCAUCAUCCCUAUGUUACGGAUUAAGGGGUGGUCUGUGCCGUCACCCCUCGACCCCCUCUAAAUCCACCCGAUAACCGUAGCCAUCUUUAUGUAUUCAAUGAUGCAUUUGGAAAGCAUUUCAAAUCUCAAAGGCCACCAUGUAUUAAAUUUUCAGCGAGAAGUCUAUCUUUGGAUCGUUAUCAUUAUCAUCACCUUUAAAUAAGCACCCCUAAACUAGUGGAGAUCAUGCUCAAAUAGGCACGGUUUCUCCGAUGGAUUUUGCUGUCAAUAUGCGAGCAUGGCAAUACGGGAGGCCGGCUUAAGUUGGCAUGAUUAGAACUAGAACACAUGAUUUAUCUCAGUAAGCGACUAAUGAGGUUUUUUUGGUUCAAUAAGAGUGACUAAAGCAUGGUUCCGCAAUGACAGAUCAUAGACAUGAUAUGGGUGUUACUAAUCAUGGUUCGGCACAGUUCGAGUACAGCACCAAAAAUUUCUGCUGUGGUUUAUUCCAACUCCAUAGCGACAUGUUUGGCGUUCAGAAACAAUUUGGAUAUUUCAAAUUGAGAACAAAAAUAUAACUUCAUCAAAAGUUUGAAAAACUCAAAUAAUUAUAUAUAUAAAAAAGAAAAUAAUGGACAUUAGAUUUUUAAAAAAUUGGCAUAUUUACUCAUGAAAAUUAGCAUAAAAAUGAAGAAUAAAUCCAUGUCCACCUCAUGAUUGAAUAGAUCUGAACGGAUUUGUUUAUUGAGAAUAUUUCAAAGAAUCAUUUGGAGAAGGAAAAGCUUGAAAAAAGCUGGGUCUUUUCGGCCACUCAAGAGAAUAUUGCUUCUGUUGUCCAUUCCUAUCCUGAGUUACCCAUAAUUCUCAUGUUACUUGCCACAUGGUUGGCUCAGACAAGAUUUCAUCGCCUACAUAAAGAGUUCUUUGAUAUACUUAGGAACAUAUGUUGCCCCAAAUAAGUAAUAGAGAGAGAAAAAGAGAGAAGCUAAGACAAGGGAGAGGCAUCAAAUCAAUAAUGGUCAGACAACCAUCUGCAAGUUCCUUCUGUAAUAUAGUGGAGAGAUCCACAGAGUUGCAAGGAAAAAGGAAGCAUGGAGAUCCCAAAUUUCAAUGUGCAACAGAAAAUAGUCAACAACAAUAUGAAGCCACUGUUUUGUUUGUUUCUUGAAUUUGUUUUAUUUAGUCUUUUAAUACUGCACCCUCACUGUUAUAUAUACAAGUAACAGAAUUAGAACAAACUCCAAUGGAGGAAAAAAAAAGAAAAAAAAGAGAAGAAAAGUAUAUAAUGCACACAGCUCCAUUGAGUUAACAGCUCCCAAGUGCUUCCAAAAUGCUAAAAAAGGAUUGGCAGAGAUCACUGGAGCUGUUAAAAACUGGGAGGAAAAACACUUCUAGUUAAGUACCUUUUCUUGGAUCAUCAACAUAUCCAUCCACAGGUCGUAUGAGUUAUUAUACCGGGUAAUGUUUAUCUAACACCAGUAAAAAAGGACCCAUAUCAUUCACCUUUAUUUUUUUCUGGUUUCACUAAUUUCUUCUCGCAAAGACAACCUUUGGGCUUGCCUGAAGCUGAAGAAGGCAAUCAUGCACUGUGGGCUUGGAGUUGUUCUCAAAAUCAGGCUUAAGUCUCAUCUGCAAUGUAAACAUUUAUUUAUGUUUGAUGAGUUUAACAAAUACAGUACAACUUUGCCAAAGUUGAAUAUGAUAUUGUAAUUCAUUACAAGGUAUGAUUUUAGCCGAUGGAAAGAACUAGUUGAAUGUAAAAAGAAAUUAUUCGUGAAUCACCUCUUGAUCUCAAGUCCCCUUUUUUUACAGCUAAAGGUACUCAGCAACAUGUCAUGCGCUAAUUAACUUAAAGAGGAGUAUUUUCAAUCAGGUAAACAACAAAAGCCAAUUAUGCCUCAUGCUCUUUUAAGCAUCGAUUUCAUGCCACAUGCAUAAAUAAUCAAACAUGUUAUGCAUUUCUACAUAUAAACACACCAAAAUGACGAAAAAACGCUAGUUGCAGCAUGCAAUUAUCAAAAGAAAGAAAAGAAAGAUUACUAACACAUGGUAUAUAUGAAACAUAGUUUGUUUUUGAUUUUGAACUGAUAACAUUACAAAUCUGUACCGAUUUCGGUCACAAUACAUGCAGUGCUUGUUGCUGCAAAAAAAGAAUUAAAAAAUGCAUUGAUGUAUGUAAUCCAUUCUUUGUUAUUAAAAUCUGAGAUGUCCCUCCAAAAAUUAAUCUAAAAUCACAAGCAAAGUUUCAAAUAUCGUGCAAUUUGGUCACGUACUGCUUGCUGGCAGGUACAGAGUGUUAGGUGAGGACCCAAUGACGACUUAGUUUUUCACUCUCGAACUCAAGUCGAAUAAAUCUAGACAUAUGUCGGACGACGGGGUUUGACGAGUUAUCCAUGACCUCCGGUCUGUAGGAAUCCAUGAUAGAAAUACUGUAUCAUACGAUAACUGCACCUACAGGUUCAUCAUUCUACUCUGCUGGGUAGCCACUACAUACUGCUAGGUGUCACUGGUGGAUGGUGAGACUCACAGGGACCAUUCUGAUGGUCGAUGAUCCCUGGUGAAAUCACAAAGGGGAUAAAGAUGAGCUCCUAUUUUGAAUUCACAAAGGGAUAAAGAUGAGCUCCUAAAAUUUAGGAGCUCAUCUCUAUCCCCACACCAUAAAAGAGGGGUUCAAAGGGGCUACGAAUUUUUCAUGGUUUUUCCUUGGGAUUUUUGGCAGCAAGGAACCUCCUUCCAUCCCUCCUUUCAGCCACAAGAAAGCAAGAAAAAAAGGCUUGUGGCGUGGCCCUUCUUCCUUCCAUUCUUUGGUUCCAACGCGAAGGGAAAAAUGAAAGACUGCGGGUUUUACAUUCUUCUUCCUACAUCCCUCCUUCUUCCUCCUCUCAAGGUAAUCAAAAGUUGAUUCAAAGGAGAGGAUAUCAGCCAUCAAAAGCUAUCUCUGCAAGGGAGCUAGCACCCCGGGAAGAUCCAAAAGCUUCAAUUGGUGCUAUACCUCGUGUGGAUACCUGUAGAGGCCGGAUGCGUGUGCGGCUUCCAUCGAACCUUCAACAAAUCCACGUAAAUCAGAUUUGCAGAGACCAUCUACCCGCACAAGAUGAAGAUCUGAUCUUCUUAAUGAUUUUAAAAUGGUUUAUAAGAAUUUAAUCCUAAUCUAUCUACAAACGACGGUUUUAAAAUACGUUCAUGCGAUGAACGGGAUCGCACAUGCCCUUCCGCUGCACAUCUAAAAAUUUUUGAAAUUUUUCUGCGGCAUGCAUCAGAUCCUAACAGUGGUAUCAGAGCCAGGUUAUGUAGAUUAAGAUUGGAAUUAAAUUUUUAAAGGCAUUUUAAAUCUAAAAUUUAAAGAAUUAUGCUUGCUGAAAUUUUCUGCAUACAGAAUUUUCAGCUUGCUGAUUUUUCUGCAUGCUAAUUUUUGAAUGCUUAGAUUAAUGAUUCUAAUGCUUUGGUAAUGUGAUUACAAAUAUUUAGAAUCAUAUCUUGCAUAAUCAGCAAGUCAUAAGAUGAAAUAAUCAGUUAAAUUACAGAUCUGAAAAUAAUAUUUAUGCAUGAGAUGCGUAUGGUGAUGAUCAUGGAUGGACCCUUUUGAAUGUGCUGAAAUAUUCUGCGAUAUUCUGUGAUGCUAUGUGAUGGCAUGUAAUUUUAAUUUUCAGAUGCCUGCGUGCAUCUUAAAUUCAUGUAUUAAAGACCUGCGUGUCUCAUGAAAAAGGGUUGUAAUUUAUUCUUUUAUUUUAUUUAAUUUUUAAAGCAAUCUGGGAUGUAAUCUGUGAUGUGUGUUGCACGUCGAUGGUUGAUCGAUAUGUACAUUAACAAGCUUAACAUGCACGGAUCGAAAUCAAGGGUUGAUUGAAGAUGGAUCAAGGAGUUGAUCACAAUUGGACCUAGGGAUCAAGAUCAAGUCAAAAGUUGAAGAUGAUCAAACCAAUUGACGUGCAUGUGAUUGUAAAAUGACCCCAUCCUGGAUCCAUGAUCAUCACCAUUUAAAUUUAUUUGUUGAUAAAUGCCUGGAUGUUUAAUGCUUAUGUCUAUACGGGUAGAUAUAUAUUUGCAUGAGAUGUGAAUAGUCGAUCGAGAGAGACCUAAAUACAAACCUUCUCAAUCAGUCAAGAGUGAACCAACAUGAGCUAGUCAUAUUAGAUUAAUUGAUCUAAUUGGUGUCUAGGCAGCUUAAAAGGUGGUUACUUAAUUAGGACCUUACUCUUCGAGUAAGGGGAACCUCCCACCUGCUUACCUGGCCAAUUGUUCCAUGCGAAACCAAUCACCGGCUAGUACAACCUCCGAUACCAAUUCGGAGAACCUUAAUUCUUGGAUAUUGCUAAAAGAAUGAUCUAUAUGUGUCCGUUUUUAAAAUUUAAAUAUGUUUUUUUUGAAUCCAUACUAACUAAAUAGUUAAUAGCACCAAGCUCCAUAAAAUAUGCAUAGAAGAGUAUAUUAGAACAAUAGUAAUUAUGCCAUCUUUAAGUGAAGCAUUAAAGUCGAUUUUAGAAGAAUUUGACAAACAUAACACAGAUCACCAACCUCAUAGUUUUGAAGUAAAUAUGCAAGCAAUGCUGAUAUUCCAUGAAUUGCAAACUUUUGUCCAAUGCAUGCUCGUGCACCAGCCCCAAAAGGAAGAAAUGCUGCACUUUUAUUUGGUUCACUUAUAAAUGGGCACUCUUCAUGCUUCUCAUGUUCCUCAAAUGUGCCUGCAAUUUCAUUUUGAGACAGAUAUUGAAAACAUUAACAAAUAAGUAUCUCAAAGAAAUGCUUUAAAGGAAUGAAAAAUGGAAUAAAUUCCAUUUCCUUUGAAGGGAGAUUGAAGUAUUGGGAGCGAACAUGCAUAAAUUAUAAAAUUGAAGGAGCCAAAAUGCAUGAUAAUGGAGGAGUUCUAUUAAACCUUUGUAAAUAAAUCAAAGCUAUAUCAUCUAAUAUUGCUUUGAUAUACCAGGAAUUAGGAAGCAUCUUACUCAGUAAAACUAUCAGAAAUAAAGCACAAUCCUUCAAACUAUUGGUAAAAGAAAUCAACCCCAUUAUGCCCAAAAGUAAUGCUCAAUCCUUAUUUGAUUUAAACAACUAAUACAGGUGACUGGCAUUGGUUGUUCUCGUCAGGUGCAACAAUUAUUGUAGCAUCAGACAAAUUGGCAAUAGCCUUUUUGUUCAUAGAAAUUCUUAAUAAGAUAAUUCUCAAAUGGUGAAAAAUCUCAGAAGACAAUGAUACAAAAAUGCAACCAACUAAAAGCCACAGAAAUAUUAUACUACCAAGAAGAGCAAAAUAUUGAUGUGUAGAAAAAGGAGAGAGAAAUGAACAUAGCUUUUGACACAAGAAUAAGAUCGUCUUAAACAACAAUAAGCAGCCUCCCACAAGAUUUUAGAAUUUUGGUUCAAGUCUUGGUUUUGAUAAGAGGACUAAAGUAUUGGCUGAAACAUGCUUCGACUGGGAUAGAUCUCAAACUGAUCAAAAAAUUCAGUUUCGGCCACCGGUUUCAACAGUUUCAGAUGAAACCAACUGAAGCUGCCGUUCUUUUACCCCAUUUGUUAACAAGUAUAUGUAUUUAUGUUUAAUAUGUGUUCGAUAUUAUUAAAUCACACGUUCAUCUGAGUCUCUAAUGAUCUUAUCUAUAUAACUUUUGUCUAAGUUAUUAUACUGGAAAGUCAAUGUAUUAAAAAGUGGAUAGAAAGCACAUAACAGCCAGGGGGGCUCCUAGCCAAUAGCGAAUAGCAAGUGCUAUGUACCCAAAGCAGGCUGUUGAAGUAUAUAUAUAUUUUCUUACUAAAUAUCAAAGAUAUCAACUCUACAUCAACUUCAUGUAAAAAAUGAAGAAAAUAAAGAAAAAUUUAAAACAACAUCCACGUAUCAUCGUAAUAUCAUAUCAACAUUUAUAAUUUUGUAUAAUGUAAAGGUACACGAUCUAAUGAGCAAUAUCAUCAUCCACCAAACAUAAUUACAUCACUCAAUAAAGAUGUCUACAAUAUGAUAACAUCAACCAUAGAAGAAAGAUGUCCACAAUCAUACAAAUAAUCCACUUCUCCUUAUCCUCUCUCUCUCUCNNNNNNNNNNNNNNNNNNNNCUCUCUCUCUCUCUCUCUCUCUCUCUCUCUCUCUCUCUCUCUCUCUCCCCCCAUGCUCCAAUUGAACAUGGGUAUGAAAUAACUAAACCAGCCCAUGUUUUAAUCAUCCUAUUGGACUAGCUGAUUGUUGGACCGCUUCAAUUGGAAAGUGGUCCAGUCUGCUAUAAAAUAAAUCACCCACUUCAAACACAGCAUCAUGGCUGCUACAGUGGGUUUCCCACUUCAUACUUGUGCCAUAUGGCACCACCAUGAUAUUUAGCAUAGCCUUCUUCGGCUGAAAGCGCUAUAGCCGCUGUAGCAGCCUAUUUUUAAAACAAUGUGGUCAAUCUGCAAACUUGAUAUAUCUUUACUAAUCAGGCAAGAUAGUUCGUCUUCUUAUUUUUCUUACUUAAAUGAGUUUCUUCCUCCUUUGCUAAAUAAAGUGAAAUAUUAAGAUGAAAUAAUGAAAUAAAAUGGGUUUUUUAUUUGGAUUGGUCCUUUUCUUUUCUUUGUCCAAAUGAAAUAGAGUAAAAUAUACUUAAAUGGGUUUCUUCUUGAUUAGAUGAAUUAAUAAAAUGCAACAAUGUUAAAUAUGCUUAGAUGUUUUUUUCCUCUGAUGAUUUAUAAAAAUGAAAUAGAAUGAAAUAUGCUUAGAGGAAAAGUUUAGUUAAAUUUUUAUGGAAAAUUAUAAAAAACAAAGAAAAGUAUAGAGAAAUUAUAAAAAUUAGAGAAUUGUAAGAAGCAGAGUCGCCGAGUUGGGAAACAAGUGUGAGAGAUCAUAUGAGAAACAAAAGUUGGUGAUUGAUAAGAAAUUAUACAAUUGGGAAAAUUGGUGGCAUCUAUAUAUGAUAAUUAAAAUUAUUCACAUAUUUAGCAUAGGAAAUAAAAAAGAUAUCUUACAAAGAUUAAAAAAAAUAAAAUCUCUACUCGUCGCCUAUGUUCUUUAAAAAGAAAAGAAAUAGGUAGCGAAGAUGAAUCUUUUUCUUCUAUUCUAAUGGGGCCUAGCUUCUAACUUUUUUUAGACAUGGGGUCCAUGUUGUGGUUUAAGGUAUAUUAGUAAUCAUUUUGAACUAAAACAAUUUUAGAUUGACAAAAUUUCUAAUUAAAGGACACUUAGAGCAAAAGUCUAUAUGGAAAGAUCACUCAUGCAAAGAAAAUCUAAAUCGAGGUUUUUUUUUAACUUCCUGUAGGUGGUGGGACUGAUGUGGUCGAGGCAUGUGGGGAAAGAGGACAAAGAGAGUGUGUAUUGGUUAUUUUCAGAAUGCAAAUUCAGCAUUUCUCAAAAUGCGCUUUGCACUCAUUUCUCAGGUUUUUUUUUUUUUUUUGUGGUACUAUAUAUUGAACGUGAGUACACCCAGCCAGAUCACUAGAAAGUAACAAAGACAAAGGAGGAGGAGCAUCUGAAUCAGACGUCCAUGGUAAGAAUAUUACAGAAAAAAAAGUCUAAACAUUUAAAGAAUUAAGCUUUGAUACAGUUUAAUUUCAAUCUGAGAUUACCCAAAAUACAUAUUAUAAUCCUAAAUAACUCAUAACACAAUAAAACGAUGUGAAUUAGCUUGUCUUUAUUUUUUCUCAACUUUUCUUGUUUGGAUCUUUUUAAACUUUUUUUACCAUAAGUCUAGAACUCAAGGUAAAAGUAUCAAAAUUGAAAUUACAAUGGUCAAGAAAAAUAGAGUUUUAUAAGAGAUGUGUAGAUCAUAUGUUAAUGAAUUUAGGGCUGAUUGAGUGACUGGCAGGGGUCGGUAGUCGACUUGUAAAAGUAUUUCAGGUUGCCUAUAUGAAUCUAUGCAGAAAUUCAGUGUGUACCACUAGAAAAAAGACAUAUAUGAGACUAAGUGCAAGUCAUCGAUACACAGAAAAGCACAGCAUAUGGAUAAGUUUAAGAAAAUAACAUAGAAACAAAAAUAGUAUGAAGCAAAAUAAAACAGGUAAAAUGAAAGAGGUUGGCGGAAAGAAAAACUAAAGAGACAGAAAGAAAAACUAGGAGGAAGUAAGAGAUGCAAAUCAGACAUCAAAUCCUUGAUGCCUUUCACAAGAACAGAGAGAAAGAAAACAGUUUAUCAUGCUUCUUGGAGUCUAGCAGAGGACCACAUAUGGCCUUCUCAGGUAAAUAAUAUCUAGAUUUUCCAGACCUCUAUAACGCAAAACUCAGUUUCUCACAGAUUCCUCUACAGAAGACACCUAAUCUACACAAAAUUAAAUCCUAAUGACUUCAGAAAUUUUCGAAUGUUAUAUAUAUAUAUAUAAUCUGAAAAUUACAAUAAACCUAAACUGCACCCAAUAGGCUACCAUUAAAUAAUAAGGUACCAUCAGAUGUAUGUACGCAGUAGUGGUGACACUAGCAGCAUCAAAACCCUAUUCUGCUUUCACCUUACUAGAUGAGUGGAAGUCAUGUUCCAAUAGAAUGAUCUUCCAGUCUAACCACUCAAAGUUGCUUACAUAAAGGGUUGGGGACCAAGUCUGUAUUUUAUUUUUGUAAUUAAACUUUUCCAAGCACCAAGAAAGAACACCAACAAGAUAGCCAUCCUUCAUGCUGCCAACCAUGAAAUUCUCUCAUUCACCAUUGACACCAAUGAGGGAUUUCAGCAAUGCAUGCUAUUUAUAUAUGAAAAAUAUUCUCUACAAAGAUAUCUUGCAUUAUCACAGCAUUGGACAUGGUUAAAGAUUUCUCUAAUUCUUUAACACAAGGUGAAUGCUAGGCAAGGGCACUGUAUUAAGUUCCUUCUUUAGUUAAUACAUACAUGGAAACACUCAAUGAAUUUUAACUUGCAAAUCAUAAUCCCUCUUACAUAUAUGAGAGUGAAACAAGGAGUCUAAUAAGUUCCCCUACUAAUCAAAGAUUUAAAUUCUUACGAAGUAAGUUGUAAUUCAUAAAACUUCAAAGAUGAUACUAAAAAUUUCAAGAAAUCAUUAAAUUCAUCUUUUGAUUAAGAAUUGUCAUUUUAAAUUGGAGUUCAGUAUUUUUCAUACUAAAGGCAUCUCCAUUCUGUGCAAUUUUCAAAUAAGUUGAAGGUGCAUUCCUCUAUAUUUUGGCAGAUACAACAUCAUCCCAAUAAUGAAUUUACUGACAAACAAAUUACCAUGGUAUGGAUAAAUUAAACACUUUUUUAUUAUAUAGAUACUUCGUUCAUGAAUCAUUGAAACUAUAGGUUCCCAUACUUAAUUCAAUUAUUAGUUUGUCAGCCAAUUGGGUAAGCUAUGUUUAGUUUUUAGUAGCAGGAAACUUAUACUUGAUGAAAAAGUAAUGAAACUGCAUAGAUAAUGGGAGUCAAUUUGACCGUAGAGAAUGCCUAGAUUGAUGUACUUCUACUCAUAGUAUAUCUCCUUUUCCCUCAUUUUAAAUGCAUAGAUUUAAUGUAUUUAAUGCCUAGAUAAGCGAGUCAAAAAAGUUCAUUCACAUAUCUCUUGAUGGUGCAUACCUUUAACAAAUCUGUGAUUGUAAGUGUUAAAACAUUAAGAUCAUUGCUCAUACCUCACACUUAAAAGUAAUCAAUGUCCUGUCUAUGCAUGUGGCUAAAAUAACUUGAUUUUGAGAAGAUCUAUGAUGAAAUCAAGGGCCUCAAUCAUUCAACCCAAUUUACAUCAUGAUGAUUUAAGGCCCCAUUCUACUGCUAGGAGAGUCAAUGGCAUGUAUUAGAAUGUUAAACUAUCAAACAACUCAGAUUUACUCAUUUAUUGAGUUUGUAUCUGUAUUUUUUUAGCCAUGGUCAUAAUCUUAGUCAUUCGGUUAUUUGGCCUUAACUUGGACUGGAGUCACUUGACCGCUGAGCAUUUAACUCAUUUGUCUGUCUAAUAUUCUUGAUCUCUUGGUUAUUUGGUACCCGAGUUAUUUUUUUUUCUACUUUAUUUGGUUACUUCAUUUAUAAAAUAGGUUAGGCUAUAUAUAUAGCUAUAGCAAAGCUAAAGGAGUAGUACUAAGUUAUAUGUGACUUUUGGCGGAGAAAGAAGUCUCUUCUCACAUGAGACUUGGAAUUCUACUCUUCACUCAUCUCCUCUCUCUUCUCUCAGCUUCGUUUCUUUCCUCUCUCUUCUUUCCAUGUGAAAUAUUCUCCUUAACCUGCACAAAUCUAAUUUAUUUUUCUGAGAUUUGAUUUGGGAUCUAAAUUCUCUUUAACCUAAAGAGAAAUAUGUUUUCCCUGAAAUUUGAUUUUGGGUCACAAUUGAACCUUCCACUUAAUAAUAAAAUCAUAAUAAUCCUUUUCCCAAUACUAAACCCUAUUCUCUGAACCCCAGGGUGGAGCAGAAAACCUAAAUAUACCCUUUAAUCCACCAAAUAGCUCACUUCAGUCUUGUUUUCUGAGAUUGGACAGGAAGUUCUUAAAAUGAGCAACACCCCUAAAUAUUCUAGCCUGAUGAACGCAUAAGCAAGCCAUUCCUGAGCAAUCCUGCAUGGAAAAUUUAGAAAGAGCCAACAAGUUCUAAGAUCUAGGCCAAUAUAUAUCAAGAUAUCAAAAUAUCAGAUGAAGAAUUAAAAAAAAAUUGAGAUUCAUUGAUGUUUCAAGGCACUGCUUUUAAUGUAUUGGCCAAUCUCUAGGGAUAUACAGAUUUUUAUUGACCGAGUUUAUAGGGCCAAGAUUUUAUUUAUCAAAUUAUUAGUGUCCCAUACCAAAAAAACUGGCAUCCUUAAACUUAAGAAAAAAAGAAAAACAAUGAACGCUCAUGCACACAGAUAUGUUUAUGUGCAUGUGUAUGUUUACAUUGUGUAAGUAAGUAUCAAAAUAUUUUCGAUUUCACUGAUAUAUGCACACAGAUAUCAAAAUAUUUUCGAUUUCACUGAUAUAUGUAUCUAUGUAUGUAUGUGUAGUACAUAUAUAUCUGCAAGUGCAAUCAAAGGGUCUGAGAAGGUGAGUCAAUAGCAAUCAAAGUUUCUAAGAUAAUGAGUUGCCGAUUUGAUGGUAAAGCUUCACAAAGAGUGGAACAGCAAGUCCAGAUAGGCUUAGUAGCAAAACUAGCAUGCAAUUUCAGCGCAAACUUUUCCUUACAAUUUAGGAAGAGAAAAGUCAGCAGUUAAAUUAGAAAAGAAAUUUGCUUUAAUGAAAAAAAAAAAAACUACUUCCUUUAGGACCAAAAAUUAGUUAUACUUUUUACCUUGGAGUAUAUUGAUAGAAGGACAACAUCAGAAACAAUAGUACUGGCAAGAACUACCUUUUGAAUCUGUUGCCUUAGUACUAUGAAGACUAAUAUAUCAAUAGAAGGGCAAAGUUAGAAAUAACACAUUGGAGUAAUAACUAGCAAGAACUGCCUUCUAUAUGUACUGUCAUCAUACUAUGAAGACACCCAUUUUGUUCAUAUAGAGAUGCUCGAAAUAGAGAAUCAGAAGUAAUUCUGGUAGCUGCAGUUAAAUGAGCUCCAUAGUAUCAAAGAAAAGACCAGAACUCAAGCUUUAAGGAACUUUAAAAGAUAACUCACUUGAUAUGUUCACAUCAGAAGUACAAAAUUCCCUUAGGGAAUCAAGAACAAUCUUCAGGAUACAAGAAGCAAACACCAGUUUAGAUGCAUUUAUAGUUUCCAUACCGCUUCCCUCGAUAAAAAUUACAUUUAUUUUAAGGAACGAUCUUAGCAAAUAAGCUAAUAAAAGCUAAUGUGAUAUCAGUACAUUAAAUUCAUGUUAACAUAUAUGCCUAUGGCAUGAAAGACUACAUAAUAACAACCACCAUGAGAAAGAUUAUAUUAUUGCAAAUGUUAAAGGGCAAAGAAAAAUGAAUCACAAAAAGAUACAAUGCAAGCACAACUAGGGAGGAAAGAGGAGCGAGGGGGUGGGAGGGGGGGAGGAAGAGGGCUACCUCCAUGGUCAAUAGCCUUCGACAAGAAACGAUGUGGAUUAAAGUGGCUGGCAUCCUUACCCCAUAUAGAGUCAUCCAUCUGCAGCAGCUGUAAAGGAACAACGAGCAUUGCUCCCGCCGGUAAAGUUAUACUAGAAUUAAGAAUCAAGUCUGUAAACAAGGAGGACAAAAUUACACACAUGACAGGGUCACCAUACAAGGGGCAAGUAAUAAUAGCAUUAAACUCAUGCAGCACUCUUUCUGCUAGUGUCAGUCAGAUAUAAACUAUUAAAGAACUUAAAGCAGCAAAAUAUUGAUGAAAAAGAAUAAAACCACAGAGAAAAGUUAACAACCAAGAAGCAAAUAUUCAAAUGCAGAACUUAGCACCUGGUCCUUUGUUUGACUGCCAUUUUAUGUUUAGUCCUGAUACAAUUAGCAUUUUCCAUUUAGUCCCUUGAAUAUAGUUAGACGUCUUUCCACACAGUUAUGCCUGUGUUUGUAUAUAACUGCUGUGUACACACUUAUGCAGGGACCAGGGAUUAACCACAAAAUGGCCAUCUAAAUAGAGACCAGGAAUUAAAACUUCCAUCAAGGAGGCCUAAAUAUAAAAUGGCAGUCAAUCUAGGAAGUGGGCCUCAAUUUCCCCGAUCCAAAUACACACAUUUUAAUUUGUGGUUAGAAGAUUAAAGCUUCCCGAGGCCUUUUGGCUGUACUUAACAUUUGCAUGCCAUGAUCAUAAAGCUGCACAGCAUAUUUGUAAAACAAUCCAGCAUGAUGAAAUCAGACAACAUUAUUGCACUAAACUUUGAUUCAACCUCCAGAUGUCUUGGACUCAGCACAUAUGUGUGCACUGCAUAACUCCGGAUAGAAAAUCAGAAGCCAAAUCCCAUAAAAUUAAAAUUCUGGUAAGACUACAAAUUUAGUUACAGGGAGCAUAUAACUACUCCAGCUUUCCAUGAGGAUUAACUGUCAUUACCAUUUAAAAUAGAAAUCUGAUUAUUGAAAGACCAUGACAAAGGCACCAAUUUAUAGUAAUGAAUUUUGAGAAUACUAAAAACAGAUUAAACAAGCAUUUAAAACUCACAUAAGAAAUCUUACUCUAAGUGAAGGUACAUUUUGAUAACAGACUGUAUCCUCAUGAAGGAAAUAAAAUCUUUUCAGGAUGUGAGCUCUUCGACUUAUAAAUAUGAAUGUCUACUGGUCUUAUGAAUUAAAAAACAUAAAAAAAGAUGUGCAAUCAUGCAUUGUAUAUUAUUCAGGAUGAGUCUCUCUCUGAAGUUGAAGUUGAGGAUAGCUAUGUCUCCCAAAUUGCUUCUUGGGCAGCUAGGCUGCCCUCGGACACACUUGAGAACCCAUUCUCGUAUAGGCAGGCUAGACCCGCCAAGGCAAACUUUGUGUCAAGUGAUUAUAUUUUUAGGCAGAAUGUCACAUCACCACCUAUAGAUAUUAUUAUAUCUAAAAUUACUCUAAAGGAUACUAAUGUAUGCAAUGAUUUAAACAUAUUAUAAAUAUGAGAUUACAAGCUCAAGUUAUAGUUAUAGAAGAUUAAUUAAGAUUAAUGUGUUAUCGCUGAUGAAAGUUGUAGCUCAUACUUUUUUUAUGAAAGAAAAUUACAACUCAUGUUGUAAAUAAUAUCCUGCAUAACUCGGUAAAUGACAAUAGCUUUCUCACUGCCAUCCAAAAGAAAAGUUAAAGCUCAUAAUAGUUUUUUUUUUUUUUUUAACUGCUAGGCAAAGAGGACAAGAAGAGAAAAAUGGUAAGACAACAAAAAAUUAGUUAAUGACAAGAAGAAAGAUCAUGGAAGGCACUCUCAAAUAAAAAGUGCACAUCCCCCAGGAUGGAUAAGAGCAAAAGUGCAAAAUAAACUUCAUGGAUAUCUAUGUUCCAUGAACUACAGGGACAGACCGAUGCUGAAAAGGCUGAAGAUGGCAGAAAGUGCCAUUCAACCAAGAGUCAAUCUAUAAUAGUUGUUAGCUAUUGAAGUUGUUGGCCAUUUUAUGAAGAAUAGAAAAAUAAUAGUGCCAAAAUAUUAUGUGAAGUGGCUGGUGCAUGUUUUUUCUUUCUUCUUUUUGGUUGGCUAUCUGCUUUUUUUGAAUUUACUACUUUUGAGCAUGUUAGAAGAUUUAUUUCCAUCAUUAUAAACAUAUAAUAGGAAUUAUUAUAAAAGCUCAUUUAAGUUAUGUAAGUAAAGAUUCAUAACAUGAUCGGCGAAACCGUUCCGAACUAUCCGGUCGGAGCAUACCGAGCCGUACCGGCGGCAGACCAGAACGGUUUCGGUAAACAAAACGAGAAACCGACGACGGAGGGGGAGAAGGAUAAGGAAAGAGAGAAAAAGAGAGAGAGCAGGGAAGCCCCNNNNNNNNNNNNNNNNNNNNNNNNNNNNNNNNNNNNNNNNNNNNNNNNNNNNNNNNNNNNNNNNNNNNNNNNNNNNNNNNNNNNNNNNNNNNNNNNNNNNNNNNNNNNNNNNNNNNNNNNNNNNNNNNNNNNNNNNNNNNNNNNNNNNNNNNNNCCAUGGUCAAUAGCCUUCGACAAGAAACGAUGUGGAUUAAAGUGGCUGGCAUCCUUACCCCAUAUAGAGUCAUCCAUCUGCAGCAGCUGUAAAGGAACAACGAGCAUUGCUCCCGCCGGUAAAGUUAUACUAGAAUUAAGAAUCAAGUUCCUCCUCUCUCUCUCUCUCUCUCUCUCUCUCUCUCUCUCUCUCUUUUCCUCUCUCCCGUUCUCCCUCUCUCCUGCCCCCUUUACUGUGUCGGUACAGGUCCGACACAGAACGGCACAAGGCUAUACCGACCCGUGCCGCCGGGCAACUGGUUCGAGCCCUAGUUCCAGCACAGCAACCCUUGAUUCACAAGGAAUUUUAAAGUUAAGGUUCCUAAUAGCGAAGUGGCCACUUAAGCACAUUGUCAAGGGCGUUAAUGCCUAGUAUAGGCAACGCAUUUACCUACUACCCUGAUAGACACCCUUAUUCUGUGUAGAAAGCAAAUAUAUAUAUAUGUAACAUAAAAUGCAGCCAUAAAUAUAAUGUCCACAAAUUCAUGUAGCAUACUGAUAUGUUCCACAUGAUUUGCAUUGCAUUUACAUAAAGAUUCAAAAACUUAUUUUUGUAGGAUGCAUGUUUAUAAGACUGCCAUCAUCCCUAAUUGAAUAUAGCUUCUAUCAACAAAAUCAUGAUACAUAAGUUGUAGACUUUAACUGAAUAAAGGUUUAGAAAAAAGAAUAAAAAAAAGAAUGUGCAAAAUCAUUUGAAUUGUGAAGUAACCAAUUAUCUGGUUAUUAUAUGAAUGUUUCAAGGUGAUGAAUCAACGCUACCAUGUUUCAAUGAGCAUCUUUGAAGCAAAGGUCCAGCUGGCAAAAGACGAGCUGAUUCAUAAACAGUAGCCAAUAAGAAAUGCAUCUUUUGCACCUCAAGUGAAUCUGGCCCAGAAGUUCUUCCCCACACUCGAACGAUCUCUGAAUAUGACUGCAGUAUAAGAGAAUGAUAAGAUAACAUACACUAUAGUUUAACAAGCAUUAUUUUGAUACAAAUGUUUGAAUAUUACAACUCCAGACAUCAACACAUUAAUUCAUUAGAGAGGCCUACCAUAUUUAACUUGCUUCCCAAUGUUUGAACGAUUCAAUAAACAAAAGUCACGAAGAUUAACAACACAAAGAAGCAUAACCUAAAAGGAGCUUUAUCAUCAAGAAAAUGAAAACUACUGAAGUACUAAAAAUAUCAUUACUUGUUUACAAUCAAUAUGGAGAAGGAUCAAAGUCACCUUACAAUUGAAACAAAGCCAGUGAGAAGAUCAGACAUUACAAGAUUUAAGCAGACUUUUGAUUGUAAAAGCCAUGUAAAUUAAAAGGAAAAGAAAUGAGGUUGCUAUUAAAGAAAAGAAAAUUAGCAGAGUCCAGAGAAAAAGGAGAAAAGCUUAAGACCUUAAAGAAGCUGUCCCAGUAAUUCAGGUGCUUUAUAAGAUCAAUCUAUUGAUAAGAAUUUCACAGUAAGAGGCACCUAGAAGUGAAAUAGGAAGUGGACUCAGCAUUUCAUCUUAGGGUCAUCAUUUGAACCUUAGAAACUUGGACCAAAAAUGAAUACCAGAAUUGGAUAAAAAGGGGCAUGAGAACAACAAUCUUUUCAGCAGAUGAUUGUACAAACUGCACAGAAAUGAUAGUGGAAGCAGAAGCAGAUUUGCAUGUUCUGAAUUAAUUAUCGGCAACAAUACUCAGAACCAUGUUUUGCUUACCAGGUCUAUCUUAUUAUUUAAGAUUAUAAUUCAAUCCAUUAUAUAGCUUUCAGGUGACAAGGUUAGAAGAAAAGCCAUAAAAAAAUCAAGAGGAGCAAAUAAUUUGCAAGAGAUAAGAAAGAAAAGACAUCUCUACUUUUUCUUGUAGUUCCGGGUUCAAGACUAGCCAUGUUAAAAUGCUAUGGAUCAAGCUAGCAGUUGCUAAACAUCCGUGGAACAUCAAACCCAACAUAUUUGCACAUGCUUCUUCUUUGGAAAUAACAUCUUCCUCUAUUUCCUCCUGGAAGAGACCUCUUGAUAUCGUAUUGUCCAGCAGAACCGUACCAUCUGCACCAGCUUCCCUCCCAGUAUCUGAAGUUCUCUUACAAGAAUCUUGAUUGAUUUGGCCCAAUGAGCGUUGAAUAAUGUCUUGUGUUAGGCAUUGCAAUCUCAUGCACAAAGAUCGAUACUUCCAGUAUCCUCUCCUCCAAAAGGGAGGGAUUCUGUAAGAAGCCCAGAAGCAACCAUUCUUAGCAAUCAUCAGAAGGAGCUCCUCAUAUGUAGCUGCCUCAGACCAAUCCAGGAAUGCAUCGCCAAAGAGACCAACUCCAAGAGUGUAAAAUGCCAUAUGCUGUGAAACAGAUCUGCAAUCAAGAAUACCUUUAGCCAUAAUAGUAUCAACUCGGCCCAUGACACAUUCAACGACCUUCCAAGAAAUCAUGUUUGCUCUCUCAGCCAAUUUUCCAUUCAAGUAUGCUUCUAAAGAUUCCCUUCUCUUUUGUACCUACAUCCAAGUGGACAAAUGACAUGAAAUUAAAACAUGUCUUGUACGUUGUUAUUAGCUAACAAUUACUAUCUACUUUAAUUGCCAUAAAUAAGUAUCCACUCAUCCACCAUAACUUUUAAGAUAUUUAGAAUAACAGUUUACAAAUUAACCAAGCAAAGAGUACUCUAAUAUUUUACAUACUAGAACUUGUCAAAAAAUAAAAUAGAUAGAGACAGAAAGAGAACAUUAUGAAAACUUUGCAGCAAACCAGGGACCAGUUGAAAUGGCAUGCAAGUUGAGAAUAAGUGGCAUAAAGCCCUCCCAUAAACAAACCCUUGUUUUCCUUACUAUUAAAGAAAUUCUCGUCAAUAUCACAAAAGUAUUUGUGUAGCAAAAGGAACUCAAUGAAUAAACAAUUUUCAUGGUUUGAAAUGUCCGAGUGGUAUAACAAUUAGGAAGGGGGAGCGAGGGAGGGAGGGAGGGAGGGAGCGAGCAAUAAAAGAAAAUCCAAAGCUAAAAGUGCUGUUUUACAGUUCACAGAUACCUUUCUGAAGGAGGAAACAAAUAGGCUUAAUCGACCAAAAGCCAAAUGGAACGCCCUCCCAGUCAAUGGUAAUUUAUCCUCAGCCUGUACGAGCACAUCUUUUAUCAGAGUAGUAUCCUUCAACGACACAAGAAGCUGAGUAGGACCCAACCACAGUCUGACAAUUGGUCCAUAACUCUCAUGCAACUUGGACAAAUAACCUGGCAAUGCAAUAAUUUAGCUUUAGAAAUGCACAUAAUUUAGAAAAGCAAAUUUUAAAAGGUUUAUAUAUUUCACCUUUCACAUUUAAGCUCAUGUGAUGUCAUCAAUGUUGAACAUAGACAAUAGAGGAGUUCAAGCCUACAUAUGUAUAUGUCUUAGGUCCUUAGUCUGCCUCCUUAUUUUUUUAUGAUGAAGAACUGUUGUCCCUACAAAAUUGAGUUAGCAGGCUCCUAAAAAGUAAGUUGACAUACAAGUCUGCCUAUUAAGUACUCAUUUCAUAGCUUUUACAUAACCCCCAACAUUUUUGUUCUAUAAGGUUAAUAUAGUUUGGUUGUUAUGACAGUAUAUGAUUCAAAUCUCAGAAUGGGACAAGUGCAUGAACCUGGGUCGUUUAGAGAAGGAUUCAGUAGUUUUUUAAGUUCAAAAAGGAGUCCUAUUUCAGUCCCCUCAGAUAGUAACUUUUCUAGAAAGUAAUUUAAUUGAUUCAGGCUAUGUUCCAUUGGCAUGUUCUGUAGCCUCUAUACCUGCUAAUUCAUGAAUUAUAUUGCAAGAUCAAUAUCUCACUUCUUUUACAGAGUUUUGGAAAUCAAAUAUUAGGAACAAGGAUUCCCCUCCCCCCCCCCCAAAAAAAAAAAAACCCAGGGAGGCCCACCGCCCUUUUCAUUAAUUUGAUCUCUCAAGCCUUGAGAAUUGAUUUGAUCUCUCGAGCAUUGAGGAUUCCAUUUCCACAGCUAUGUCAAGGCAUGGACUCACUAAGACAAACCUUCUAUAAUCUUCUAGUUAGACAUCUGCAAUUUGACCAAACAUAAAGCAUGCUAUUUUGUCAUCAGAGCAAAAGGUUCUUACUGAUAUCAAGAUAAUUGUUGAAGAAAAAACAACAGGACAUGGAUAUCAAUAUUAUAGAGAAAUACUUUCUCAAAGGAACCUAUGUAUGAAAACAAUAAUAUCACAUCCAGGCAGUAGUAAAGACAAUAAUCACUUUGCAUUGUGCAUUUGCUAAAAGGUUUCUGUUUGAUUUAUAAAGGAAAAAAUGGAUGUGUAAUUUUCUCUUGAUAUUUUAGAAGCUAUUAGAGAUGGUCAAGUGUAGAAGAAAAAUCCUUCUUCUAGUGGUCCCCUAGAUAAUUGUCAUCAAUCCAUUGAAAUCUUUAGGAAUCUUCUGUUGCAACAGAUUUUACAUCAUUUCUGCCUGCAUUAUCAAACCAAGGAAUGUACAAGAGGUUCAGUUAUAAGAAUAGUCCAAGACGUGAGUGUUACAUCCACAGAUAUCGCAUUAGUAAGCUUUCAUCAACAUGGAGACACCAUGAAGAUAACAUCCUACUUUUCUGACUCCAGGUCCUUGAGAUGGUAGCAGCAAAUUACUGAUAUUCAAGCUGACUACACAUAUUACUCGUUACCUAGGUUUGUGUUUUAGAUUGAUUUGGUUACCUAUUUGAAAGACAUUUUGCAAACAAAGAUUCAAAAUCAUCUACUAUUUUUCUUAUACCCAAUAAAUGAGAUAUAUAAGUAGUACAAAUUCUCAUCAGAAUGAAAUUACAAGCUGCUACCAGAAGAAGGAUUGCAGGCUGAUGCAAAUAGCAACUGUCUAUCAUCCAACAACAGCAAUAAAAAUAUUAUUUUGAUCGGUAAAACUUAAAUUAAGCUGAACUCUGCUCUGACUCCAUUAGAUAGAUCUGUCAUAUAGCUCCCAAUGCACUUAACAUUUUCCAGAUUGACGUCUAGGGAAAGUAUAUGAGCGCAACACUGAAGAUCGAGGAAUGCUGGAUAGCACACCAUGAUUGAUGAUCGUAGGAGCAUCUUUUAUUGAUAUGAAGCUAACGUAUAAUUAAAACCUAGAUAAUAUAAAAGGACAUCCUAGAUAAUAUGGAUAAAGUUUGUACAAGGAAUCUGUAAAUUCUGGGAACAGUAGCAGACAGAGGCCUUACUAGGAACUACUGGGUAAAACACGAUUCCCAAGGACAAGUGAAUAAGUCAGAAUUUCUGCAUGUAUUAUUCAUAUUACAACUCUUUUUCUUAAUCUAGACAGAUCAUGGAAUUGGUUUCUUGUUUUAUUUGUCUUUCUGUAAGGUUGUUAGAAGUCUUUUAAAUGCAGAAUUAUGCUUGACAAUUCUGAUUAUGAGUAAAACAAGAAACUAAUUUAAUAGCAUAACCUACUAUACUUAUCUCAGUGUCUGAUGUAGAUGACUUUCUUAAAGCUGAGUUUAAAUCACAUCUAUUUAUUAUUUUCCAACUUGAACAAGAGUCAAGGCAACAUUCAAUAGGAACUUGCUUACCGGUAACGAAGUUGGUACAGAGUACCUAGUGGCUGUUCAUGAUUUCAAAAAAAAAAAUCGAGAAAAAAAUCAAAAAUUAUAUCAUCAAACAAGAAAUGGUGAGAAAAGAAUCGGAUCUACCGGUGAGAUUUGCGCCCGAUCCGCAUCCAGCGAUCAGCUUCGAGUGGCCGAAGAAGGAAGGAGAGGGCGGGCCCGGGAUCCGGCUUCCCUUGGCCCAGAACCCCACCAGCCUCGCAAGCUUGCGGAACAGCAAGAACGUGACGGAGAUGAGGGAGAUCCAAAGCAACGCGUUGGUACCCCUCGCCACGUAGUCCUUCAAGAAGCCUUGUCCGCCGGGGGCGGCGGAGGAGCAGAAGUUAGCCGGCGGCCGGUCGCCGCCUCCCUGGAGAAGAAACCCUAGAAGGGUGUACGGGAUCGAGGCGUCGCAAGCUUCCAUGGCGGUCGAGGAAUUGUCUCAUCGAAAUUGGAGCUCAGAGAAGGGAGCGGGGGGGUUUGGUGGGCUGUCUUUGUUCUUGCGGUGGCGGCGAGAUAUUUUAUUUGUUUAUUACUAUUUUAUUAUUGUGGCGCGAGAGAAAGAUGGAGGGCUCGGAUCGCGACCGUGCCGUGGCAGCAUUUGAUUGGCGGAGAGGUUGGACUUUUUCUUUGGUUGGACUUAGUGGCACCCAUGCCGUGCCCGGCCGUAUCCGGUAGAUUGGAUGCGAGGUUGAGCUUUUUUUAAAGAAGAAGUGGAUGGAAGAAUCGCUUUAAUACAACCCAUACAGCUGUCCCAUCACUCCCUACCGUUCCUUUUUUUAAAAGGUAAGGUGGGAAACGAUUACAGAUUUUUUUUCAUACAAAUCGGAUGAAUUAAUUACUACAAGAUACAGCUAUGGAAAUUAAAAAAAUAAAAUAUUUAAAACUUAAAAAAAACUUGUUAACGAGUCACAUAAUAUGAUUAUAGAUUAUUAUNNNNNNNNNNNNNNNNNNNNNNNNNNNNNNNNNNNNNNNNNNNNNNNNNNNNNNNNNNNNNNNNNNNNNNNNNNNNNNNNNNNNNNNNNNNNNNNNNNNNNNNNNNNNNNNNNNNNNNNNNNNNNNNNNNNNNNNNNNNNNNNNNNNNNNNNNNNNNNNNNNNNNNNNNNNNNNNNNNNNNNNNNNNNNNNNNNNNNNNNNNNNNNNNNNNNNNNNNNNNNNNNNNNNNNNNGAAAAGACUUUUUUAACCUAGUAUUGUAGAAUACCGUAUUUUAGUCUCUAAUUUUGCUCCUCAUUUAAGAAAAGAUGUAAGGCUCGUUUGGUUCGCGGAAAGAAUUUUUCCUCCUAGAAAUAUGAUUUCUAGAAAACAAAUUCCUAAGAAGAGAAUGCCUAGAAAAGUACUUUUGGCAUGUUUGGUUAAUUAUGAGAAAUUGACAAAUUUUCAAAGUGCUUAUGUUUGGUUGGCUAUCCACUUUUCUGGAAAAGUUAUAUAUAAUUCCUAUUAUGCCCUUAAUAAAAAUUAGGUCUUUAAUGUCUCUUUAAUACUGAAGAGCUUUUUUGAAAAAAAAAUAAAAAGGAGUGAUUCCCGCCUCAUAGGAAAGUAAUUUUCCCAUGUUUUUCAUGAAAAAGAUUUUCCUAUGAAAUGUGGGAAUCAUAUUCCCAUGGAAAUGCAACUUUCCCAUCUCUCUCCUUUGAAAACUCCAACCAAACAAGAGGUAUCUCAUUACUUUUCCAUUGACCACACUUUCCCUCCUUUUUCCCGCGAACCAAACGAGCCCGUAUAGGCUUGACCAUCAUUGGAAGAGAUAAGCAAGAGCUCUUACUCGAUCAGCUCUUGAUUUGAUCCCAACUAGCCCCUAUCCUUCCAUUGACUUUUUUUUUUUUUUGGCCACCAAUCUCUUUAAAGCAAUAGACAAGAUACUUAUCAAACUACCUUUAUUGGGACCUAACUAUACCACAAGAUGGAUCUACCGAAGAAGACCCUUCUCUUGGUUUGGAAGAACACAAAGAUCUAGAAAAAAUAAAUGAAAUGAAAAAGAACCGAGUAAAUGGCAAGGAAAAAACAAAAAAGAAAUUCUACUUUUUAAUUUAAAGAAACAUGCUAUAAAAAUAGCCCAGUUUAUAUAUUUAUAUGUGUGUCAUAAAAAAAAAUUCUGCUUUAUUAAAAAAGAUUGCCGCCCCUCGACUCUAGAAGAGUCCACCUCAAGCUAUAGCCUAAAUGAUGACAAAACAAAAGGACAAUUGCUUUAAGGCUCUCCCAAGCUGCUUCUAACUCUCCUAAGAAAUUAUAAUUAGGAAAAACUAAACAACUUAAGUUUGUGCUAGAAGCAUAUUUUUUAGUCAAAUGGGAGAAACACAUCAUAAUUUUAGUAUUUCCAAUGGGAGAAGGUAGUCAAUAUAAGGGAAAAGGGUAAGAAGAAAGUGAUCUUAUAUAAUCAGCUAUCAAAAGUGUGGAGGUACUAGUACAAACUUCAAAGCAACAGAGCAAAAAUAGAAAGCAAUGUAUUUGGCAUCGUUAUGAUAAAUUGGUGCUUACCUUAAUGGUCACACCGUGAGUCUUGGGUAGUAUACUAAAAAUUUGGACUUGGAUAAUUAUAAUAUAAGUGGUCUCCCUUAUCUCUCAUAAAAAUACUAAAAAGAAAACCAAGACAACAAAUGCAUUUUGUAGACGUGUUUUGUUUUUUAUUCUUUAAAAAUCUAGUCUAUAUUUUAAAAAAAAAAGGGUAAAAAGCUCCUACAUUUAGCCUUUUUUUAAUGCAAAAACUCUUUCCUCAUCAACAUCAAGUCCCACGACUUUAUUCAACCGUCACUAUUUAUUUCCUAAAAUCUGCCUCCCCCUCCUUCCUUCUUGAUCUCAUUUACUUUUCGAACACUACUCCAAUGAUGGGGGCUACUUUGAUCAUCAUUUGUCGAAGAAGGCUGCUCUAACCUAGUGAGAAUUGCCUCCUCCUUCUAUUUGUUUCUCCUCCUUCCUACCUCUCCAAGAACCAAGUGGACCGAAUCGAGUUCUUGCUUUUCUUCUUCUACUAGUUAGAUGGGCAUGCAUGUUGCAUAUGCAAAAUUUUCGUUAUUGUUAUUUUUCUUGAAGUAAGAAAAAUUGAAAUAUUUGUUGAACAUGAACAACAGAAGUUUAUAGAAAGCGAUGCAAACUAGACCCAUUUGAUAUAAGCUUUAUUAAUUAAAUAAUCAUUGUCAUCAAAAUAUUAUGGUCAAUGGAAAAAAAUCAAAAUAUAGAUCAAAUAUUAUUAUUUUUAGAAUUAGAAGGUUGGAUCCAUUGCACAACCUAUACUACUAGGUACUUAGGUAAUUUGAGCCUAUUACUCAUGGAGUGGUGCUUUUGUUCUCCAAGAAAAUUCUAUGGUAGUGCUAAUUCUUGAAAGAUAACAUCACUUGAGGUUCGAACUCCCAACCCCUUACUUGUUUCUAGGCAAGGGGUAUAAUGAUUGAGCUAAGCUCGAUGUUUACAUAGAUAUUUGAACCCCCAUCCCCAAAUAUUGUAUGAUACAAAGAUCUCAUGUUUUAGUUUGUAUACUAUAUCCAUCAAUAUAACCAUCAAGUUUACUAUUAGCCAAUUUUUAAUAGAUAUUGGUUUAAAUUAAUAUCAUACAUAACACUCUAUUUUGGAAUAAUGAACAGAAGAACGAAGACCAAGACUUGCAUUUUGAAGGUGUCAAUAUGUAAUUCUAUUUACUUAAAGCUUAAAACCUGAUAUCAUCAUCAUAAAGGCUCACAAAGAGCAAGUAUAUAAGUUUAUGAUGAUCAAUAUGCAUACAUUUGCAAUGAAAUGGUAUUGUAGGGCAUUUAAUCUAUAGAGUAAUAAGCACCAUUUAACAUAGAUACAUGAAGUCAUCAUAUGUUAAGAUCUUAAAAAAAUUCAAAAAGGAAGAACUAUCUUGUUAUCCAGUUAGCAAUUUUUUGUUGCUAACAAAACUAUUAACGUAAAAUCAAUAUGGUCAUUUGCUCCAACUAUGCCCAUGACAUCAUAUAUCUUAUUUUAACUAACCUACUAUCCAUGCCUCAAGUUAGGUAUCAUAUUAAUCAAAUCUUUAUCUCAUCCCACCUUUAAUUAAGUAAGUUCACAUUUUGCAUCCAGUUACAAUAGCCAAUUGAUUUUCCAACCCCAAAUUUCUACUUAUUCAUCUAAUGCACCACAUUCCAUUUUAAUCAAACCUAAUUCAUGCCCUCUACAACCUUAAUCCAACCCCAAUUGACCAAUUUUGAGCUUAAUUUAUUUGGUAUAGCCUAAUUUAUUAAUCCUAAUGUAAUUCUUCUCUAAUUAACCCUCAUUUGUUCACUCUUUCCACCACAGUGUUAUGUGGGUCUAAUUAACUUAGCCAAACACAAUUUGAUCAAAAUUCUGCAAUUGCAAGUCGAUUGGACUUUGAGCCAAUUCAAUAUUGAACCUAAUUUAAGCUAUUGUUGAAACCUUAUCAAAUGAGCUCAAUUACGCUCAAAUUUGAAUCAUGGCUCCCCUUAUAUUUCAGUUAUCCCAUAUUUAUUUUCACAAUUUUUUGAUAUCUUUAUCUCCCUCAACUAAAUCACCCUAAAAAUUUGCAAAAAGUUACCAAAAAUUAUAAAAAUGGAAAGGAGUGAAUAUAUCAAAUAGAUCUAAAAUUUUUAGACUAACUCUCCUUUCAAAACAAUAUUAGAGGGAGGAGUUCCUAGUUAUCAAAUUUAAAAGAAAGCAUUCAAUCCAUCCAACCUCUAAAUUUAAAUCCUUGAAUCAUAUCUCUCUUCAUAUAUCAAUGAAUGAAUAUUACUUGGCAUCAUCUGAACCCUUUUCCAAAUUCUAAAAUUCCAACCAUUGAACCACCCUCAACCUUUGUAAAUAGUCUCCAAAAGAAGAGAACUAGAUCUCCCUCUUAGUCCUUGAGAUCUCUUAGCUUGCUCUCAUUCUCUCAUUUUCUUUAUUUUUCUUAGUUCUAAGAUCCCUUAGCUUUAGGCCCCCCACCCCACUUUACCCAAUUUGACCAAGAUCUAGAUCUAGAUCCACCCUAGAGAAGAAAUGUCUCUACUUCAGAUCCAAAGAGGCCAAAAAUUACGAGGAGCUCAAGUUGGCGAAGAUUCCUUCUAGUGUCUUCUCCAAAAAUGAGAUCAUGUUGAGUGUGCCAAAACACCAGCAAAAAAUCUUUCUUUUUAGUUUUUAUUCCUAUCAUUGUAAUUUUUAUAUAGUCUUCACUAAUCUAAUAUUUUUUUGCUCUUUGAUGAUGAAAUAGCUUCCUUUCUGUAUUCAUUUUAUAUUUAAGUUUUACAAAUAUAGCUAGUUUAUAGAUUUUUGUUUUCUUUCAAAAUUAGGUAUCUAUAUGGGAGGAUAGGGUUCAAGCCUCUUUAAUCUUUCACUCUACAUAUCCUUAAGUAUCACAUCCAUCCUAAAUCGAAGCAUGCCAGGGCAUGGUCGGGGUGACAACUUAUAAUUUCUAUAACCCAACUAACAUAAACCCAUCUAAUAGGCACAUGGCAUAAUACCCUAGCCCAGCAAUAUGGAUGAGUAUGAGUUUAGAAACCUAUAUUUAAGUCUAGAGGGGGUGUUUUAUUCACCAAGCCAUCUCUAAUAAUAUCCUCAAGCCUUACUUAAAGCUUGAGUUCCAUAUAAAUGGUUUUCUCCCAAAAGGUGGUGCCAAGUUUGAACUUUCUUUGAUCAUGCUAUGUCUCCUCUUUGGGGUGUUCAUAGCAUCUGGUGGCUCUAUUGGGAAGAUCAUCCUUGAAAUUUUAAUAUCGACGUGGUUUGGAAUCUAUAUUGGAAAUGCACUCAUAUUGACCACCAUGGAUAGAUAGAAAUUUUUUUGGGCCAAUUAAAGCAACUUAUAUCAAGGAGUAUUAUGCUUGAACUUCAGGAUAUGGGAUAGCUUUCUUUCAAAUAAGGAUUGAGGAAUGUGGCCUUCUUUGUACCUUCACCAAGCCUUCACCUAUUUUCGCAAAAAUUAGCCUUUGCUUAUGAUUCCUUUGAUCCUUUCAUGUCCUCUUCUUUGAAAACCUUCUUGCCACAACCUUUCAGGAACAAAUUUAAUGUUGCUUCAAAAAACAAGAUAAGAGACGGACAAAGAAAAAGAAAUGCAAAAAUCAGGGUCAAAAUACUAUUAAAGCUAAAAAGUGUACAUAAAAAAGAAAAAGAUAUUAUUAUUACAUGAGGGAUUUUUUUUUCUUUCUUAGUUAAGCUUGCUUCCAUACUCGAUUACAUUUUUUUGAUAUUAUCGCCCCAAGAUAUAAAAGUCAUCAAAAUGUUCAAAGAUUGAAGAUACUAGUAGAGAGGUUGGUUAGACUUAUACUUCUAAGAUCAAUGUAUAGUAGUUGAUUAACCUAUAAUCAAUGAACCUAGUUCAUGCUGAGAAAAUAUAUCCCACAAUAUAGAUGAUGCCCCAUAAUAUGCUGAAAGUUACCAAGCAAAUGAUCCUCUUCAAGGUUAUUCCUCCUCGGGUUACAAAAUCAUCUUUUCAAAAAAAAUCAAGAGGCAUAAAACAAAAUCGUUUGGUAGAAACCCAUAAGGUUGUCAUGGAUAAAAGAAGGAGGUACACCCAAGUGAACCUAGUAAAAAUUCAAAAGGGCACUAGGGGAAAUAGGACUUUGAAAAUGGGUAUGGAUAAAAAUCCUAAGAGAUCCACAAGUAAAAGGGUUAGUUCGAACAUAGCAACAUCCUAGAAGGGCGAUGCAGGUAAAAAGGACAAAACAAAGCCCGAUAUUGGCUACUAGAUUCUUUGCUAGGGUAAGGACAAUGUGCACAUCCUUGGCAAGUUUAUGCAAGUAUAUGGGCAUGCCAUCGAUGUCAAAACUAUAAAGAGAAGAUGGUAAAAGAUUGUUACCAUAGGUUCUAAUGCCUUGAGCUUUAAGGAUUUUCAUCAUCGCGACAUAGUCUAUUUGGAAGAGAAGGAGGCAGAUUGUAGCCAGGGCUACUAUUCUACUUUAAGCACUAUGGAUAAAUUAGAGUAAAGCAGCAUAAAUAAAGGAAGUAAACUAAAGAUACAUAAGAAGAUAAAGUAAAGAUAAAGAUAGAGAUCAAUGAUAAGUGAUUGAUUAACCAAAGAAGUUUUUCUCUAGUGCCGACACCUAUCUAUAUCUAACCCUCCACUUCUCCUAUAGUUCCAAUAACUAGUACCAUGCUCCACUCUCCACAUGCUGAUAAGCGUCAGGUCUUGUACCAUAUCAUAAUUCUUCUGCUAGGCUAACAGAAGAAUCUUAUAGAUCACCAUGCCUGAUCCAUCUCAAACUCGUCAUAGAUGGACUUUAUUCAGUCUAUCCUUGAUAGUUAUCUAGUUUUUCCUAGCCGAUGCUCUCCUUAUUCGGCCUGUAGGGCAUUAUACAGAUCUUAUGUUGAGCUGUUCCAAGCUUAUUCGAUCUAUUUUUCUAAAUAGAAUUAGAGGAGAUCAAGCCUUCGGCCUCUAAAUUACCAUCUUAGUUUGUCGAUUCAGGAUGCUUAGGUCAAAACCCCUUCACCAUUAUCUUGUCUUGGCCUUGCUAUGUGGCUGAGUAUAUAUGUGCCUUUUGGAUGCUAUCUUUAGUUAAGACGUGGUGUAGACACUUGAAAAGGUACUGGAAUAUAAAUAAUGAUAAUGAUGAUGGUAUGAAGAAGAAGAAGAAGACAAGAAAAAUGAGGAGGUAGGAUAGGAAGGUAGGAUAUUUUUAUUCAUGGAUGAAAAUUUACGUCGAGGUUUUGAGAAAUUUAUAGGGACUAGAGCUACUCUAUACAUACACCACAUGAGAGAAUCACGUGUAUUUGCAAAUGUAGCCACCCAAUUGUUAAUUUCCUCUGUGUUCCUCUGUGUGUUCGUUGAGCUAUUUAUGAUUGUUACGAUGCUAUCCAUGAGAUGGCCUUAUGGAAAGAGAAUUGAUUUAUAUAUUGUUCUUGGUCGAGCUUGAGCAUAAAGUAUAAAGCUAAAGCAAGAUCCAUUGUUGGCACAAAAAGUAAAGAGACAAAACUUUAGGGAGGGGAGUUAGCUCUGGCGAUUACUGUCAUGUCCCAACCCCGUCACCCAAGUCAGCCAUGUGACAUAGCUGCACACUUUCUAGGGUAGGUCCUUAGAGAAUAUACUAGGCCUGAAAAUUUAUUAUAAUCUUAAUAUUAUUGAAUAAUAAUGAACUCAAUUCAUAACAAAUAACAAAACUGAUAUAAUUACAAAAUUUAAUCAUCCAGUUGGUUUUAGUGAUAGUCUAUAUAUUUAUUCUUUCAGCCGUGACUCUAACUACAACCAAAUACUACGCAACCUGCAACUCUAAAAAAAAAGGGUUGUGAACUUUUCCAACUCCGUAAGAAUCUCAAAAUAUUACAUCAUAAGUAAUAAAAAAAUUAAAUGAACAAUACCAGAUAAAAUAAGUAUCAUAUCAAUAUCGAAAAGUUCAUAUAUAUAACAUGCACAUAAGCCCUCAUUAUCAUCUUUUCAAAAAAGCGCACACACACACACACACACACACAUAUAUAUAUAUAUAUAUAUAUCCAAUUUUCAACAAUAGUUUCUUAUGUCAUGUCAUUCAUUUAUUAUUAACUUGAUUUUCAGACUUCCUAGCAAUAUUUUUUGGGCUUUGGAUUAACCAACAUCAUGACCUAAUCUAAGAUUACUAAACAAAAUUUUACGCGUAAGCCCGUGGAGGCUAUCCCACUCAUAAGCUCAUUGAGCAAUUCCACGUAUAAGCUUAUGGAGAUUAUCCUGCAUAUAAGCUCAUGGAGGCUAUCCCACACAUAAACUCAUGGAGGCUAUCCCACAUAUAAGCUCAUGGAGGCUAUUUUACGUAUAAGCUCAUGAAGGCUAUCCCAUGAUGAGGUUAGUCCAAACCAUAUCUUAUCUAUCUGAUUUACAUGUUACUAUUGUCAAAUCAAUUUCCACUUAUACAAUGUAAUUUUCUUAAAUUCAAGGUAUCAAUGUUCAUAUAAUUAUGUUCUAAAUAUGAUGCAUAUAAUAACCAUAUAAGUAUUCGUACUGAAGAUCAUAUAAUACUUACUAUUGCAUGCCAAACCAAAUCUAUCGAGGUAAAUCUCAUGAUGCAAAUCUUACGAUGUAAAUCUCAUGAUGCAAUCCAGCAGUAGAAAUUAAUAAAUAUGCGUAUAUAUAUAUAUGUGUGUGUGUUGGUGACCAAGUAUAAGAAUUCUUACUUCUAUCAAAAUUUAAUGCAACUACAAUGCUACCAAUCCACACCUAACAUGUCCAGUCAAUUUAAUAUCAAUAUAAAACCAAAUUAUCCCUCAAUCAGCCACCAACAAUUUUAAUAAAUGAAUUUCUCACUAAUUAUACAAUUUUAGAGUUUUAAUAUUUGAAUUAUCCAUAUUCUUUAUCCUCCUUUAAUUAAGAAAAUAAAGAGUUAGGGCUUUAUCUCAAUUUAGAAACUAGAGUAUAAGAUCUUGUUAAGCUUAUUUCUGUUUGAAUGACUGUAGCUCUAUACAAAACCAGGGCUGACUAUGAAAAUAGAUUUGUAUAGGAAGAAAGACGAGACCAAUUGGGUGGUGGCAUCGAGUGGCCAGAUUCGGUCGGCAUAGUGUAUACCAAUUUAUCUUAUCAAGAAAGAAAUCGGUCUCCAAUCAAGAGUAAGAUUUCAAAUUGUUAGAUGACUGAUAAAGACCAGAGUGAAGAAGGAUAGGGCUAACUAGGCAGUAAUAUUCGGGUGCUCGGAUUGAUCGGAUCCGAGCAGUCUAACAAGUCAACUCAAGAACAAGAGUUAGACUACAAUAUAGAUAGGUCAAUAAAGAUUGAUGAUGAUGAUGAAAUUCAAAUGUACUUAGUAAGUGCCAUGGUUUUGGGGGUGGGGGGGGGGGGCAGGGGAUGAUAUGCUGCAUGGCUACUCGCGGCGAUUGUAAUGAUGUCAGUCUAAGAUCUACUACUAGGUUCACCAAGAAACAUGAAGAGAAACAAAGGAGAGAGAAGGAUUCUCUACUGGGUCCACUUAGAAGCAUACAUAGAGAGAGAAGAAGAAAGAAACCUCUUUUCUCUUGCCCAUGAAUAGGGAUCUUUCCCUUUCCCUUGGGUUAGAACUAGGGACGGCUAGGGUGGCCUAGCCCUAGUGAUGGCGGCCACCGACAAGCCUCAGCCGCAGUCAUUGCCGGCGGCGGCGGCCACUAUGAUAGUGGCCGUAGGAACAGAUAAAAUAAAAGGAAACGAAGAAAGAAAACUCAGGAGGUUGCCUGGCCCCGGUGUGGGUCCACAUGGAGGAGAUGGGAAGAGGGAGAGGGAAACCAGAACGGUGCGGGUUGCCGAGAUGGUGGUCGCAGCCCAUGCUGUGCGACGGUGCCCUGCGGCAACGCGGUCGUAGCCUCCCAUGCCGCUGUGUUCCUAUUGUGCAUAGAACUGAGCAAGGGAAGAGGGACAAUGCCCCAUGCUAUCUUGGUGGCAUUUUCCUCGGCCAUAGAGCUUGGCGAAGCUCAGCCAAAUCUGACGGUCAACAACAAUGAUCACGGAAGAAGGAGACCGAAACAGGGCACUCCUAUUUUAGACGGAAAUCCGGCAAUUUGCUAGCCCAAAACAAGGUGAAGCAUGGCUAAAACACUAGGAAAGAAAGAGAAGAGAACGAGGAACACUUACCUUUGUCCGGUGAGGUGGUCUUGGGGCUCUUUUUGGUGAUGAAUUGGUGAAGAAAAUCCAUAAAAAAGACUUAAAUCAGCGGUGUUGUCUCAGGCGUUUGUCGAUGGAGCUCGGAGGAGGAGGAGGAGGUCUUAAAUAGGCUAAAUCCUAGUCUUAUCCAGCUGGUGAUCGAAUCGGCUCCAAAUUCUUGGAGCCUGGCGAAAUCGGAGAGUCUUCUUCCUAUCAUUUGAAUGCUAGUGGCUUGGCCUCUUCAGGCAGCCCAAUAGCCCAAAGAAAGUGGGCUAUUACAUUUACUUUAUCAAAUAAGGACAAGAUAGGAUUAUUGUGAGUGCGCCUCGAAUAAUCGGCAUGCAAAACAAGGGCUAGGCCCUACGGAAUGGAGUUUAUAGUUUCAAAAUACUUCCAAAAAUAGAAGUGUGCUUUAAAAAAAAAAAAGCUCUCAAAACUUGCAUUCAAUGCGUGCAUGUUUGCACCACGUCAUUAAACAAGUGGUGGAUGGCUACUCGUUGGGUCGGGUCUACUUGUUUUUGGACCUCGAACCAAAGGUUUUUGGAACUCUGCAACUUCCAAUGUCAUGUAUGAUAUGAUUCACAGGAUGAUGAGCUGAAGCAUAGAUCUAAUGUAGAUUAUGACAAGUAGCCAUGCAGAUGGAUAUACAGACACAGUUGUCUAAUACCCUCCUUAAAGCAUGGCCGUUGGUGUUAUUAUGUAGGAACCAUUUGUUGCUCAUGCCACAUGUAGGUGACUUAUGCUGAUAUACUUGUGUGGAUCUAAUAGCCCUCAAUCUGGUAGGUGCCCUUUGUUUGCACCACAUGUAUGAAUGCAUCAAUUUCAGCCAGUUCCCAUCCAGAUAAAAGCAUAUGUGAAACACCAGAACAGAGAGAGCACCAUACCUAGAAGCAUUCAGAUUAAAUCUACCAGUUGUUUGUGGUCAUUUCCAGACAAACCACACCAUUGGUCUCCUGCAUGCAUAUUUAGCAUCUAUGACUAAUAUUAUUUCUCAAAUACUCAUCAAUGCCUUCACCUCAUCCUCUACUUUGGCCUAGCCACUAAUUUAUUGCCAACUUGGAGAAUCAGGCAGAUUGUUAUGUGGUAUUCUUCAUGGCUGCAGCAAGUAUCUUCAGUCAAUAAGGUGGACCAGAUUAAUGGUCUUGCACACAGGUUAGAUCAGUUUGCAAAUGUCGUAAUCAACUAGAAAGGGUUGGAAAAAAAUUCUUGUUUCAGUUUAAAUAUUGAACCCUGAGAAAUUUCCAGGGGACAAUUUGUGCUUACUCAUUAGGCCUUCAUUUUAUGUUGGAGCAAAAGAGACUGCAGGAAUUUGCUGCAGAGCAGGAAGCAUUGUUUGGGAGCAAGCCCAGCCCAAUGCAGCAUUUAAACAGUGAAAAAGAAUGAGCCAAAGCUCCAAUGUGAAUAUGGCGGGUGGAACUCCAACUGGUCGCCAUGUCUCAACACUCUUGGCUCGAUGGGUGGAAAGACAAGUGGAAUGGUACCCGUGAACUAUGUUUCCCUUCGAAGAUGAUUUCCUGACUCAAGAAAAAUUCAGCAAAUUGGUUUUGAUGUCUGAAAAAAAAAAGGAUGCGGAUGGCAAUCUCGUCAGGUGCUACUGGCAUUGCAUUUGGUUCGUUUCUCCUCUGCUUUGGUACUUGCACAAGUGAACUUAUUUUAUCAAGGCCGGGUAGCCUUUUUCAUAUUUGUUUCCCACUCCAAUUGCAAUAGAGUCCUCUUACCAUAGGAUAUAAACCAUCAUACUCUUCCAAUGAGGAGUUGGUUGCCACCUUAACAAGACGAUAAGCUAGAACUAUGAGGGUUUGUGCUUGCAUGUGUUUAGUCCUACAUCGGUUAUUCACUGGGUAGAUCUUUAGUACUUAUACAAGAUCAAAGAACUCAAAUAAUAACUUCCGAAUAGCCUUUUUGGAUGAGAUCCUGAGUUGUUACAAAUAGUAUCAGAGCGAAUUCAGUUCACAGCUUAUGUGGAGUAUUAUUAGCUUUGGGGUUAAAAUUACUUGCUUUACUCCAUUCUUCUCACUUAGAUCAAAAUAAGUUAUCAUUUAUCAUCAUAAUAUUGUCUUAAAUCUUAGUUAUUAUUUUUUUUGGACCUCAAAUACGAAGAAUUGAUAAAGGCCACUGGUGGGAGGACCAGUCGUUGACCAUUAUCUAGUAAGGCUAAAAUUAUAUUGGAUAUUGAUGAAAUCUUGGUGUAUAUAGAUAUUAAUCAGCUGCUAAAGUUUAUACCUUUAGUCAUUUUAAGCAGAUGACAGAUAUAAAUCAAAUAUUCAUAGUAAGGAAAUUAAUGUGGAUAAAAAUUGGAUAAAUAAAUCUGGAGUCAUGAAAUCAAAGAUGUAACUGUAUGGAAAAUAAACCAAAUUAAAUUAGUAAUCAUUUUGUCACUCAUUUCCUUUUGAAAUAUAUGAGAGCUAAAUAAGAUUAAAUAAAAUUGUAUAUGGAAUUUGAUAUUAGAUAUGGAUUGGAUAACUAUGUAUCUACUUCCAACUCCGCAGUCUUUGAUGGAUACAAAUGUAGAUGAAAGUCAGAUGCUAAAUGAUGCAAAAAGUUAGCCAAAUUUAAAUUAUAUCAAAAAGAUGAAAUGUCGAUAAGGAUAAUGGCCUGGAAUCUGACAACAUGUGGAAUUCUAGACGGUUGUUGCAAAGGAUCUCAAGUAUCCACUUAAAACUUGAAAAUGAUGUAAAAAAGCAUGAUGUUGGAAGGCUAAAGACUGCAAUCAUUGAAGUCCUUUUAGCUGCAAUCACAAAUAAAGAAAACGGAAAACGAUUUAACCAAAAAAAAGGAAAAAUUUCUUGACAUGAAGGCAUUUGUGGAUCAAAAGGACACAGUAGGCAAGUGAAGUUUUCCAUCAAACGGGGCCACACUCGGGACACCAUAUGGACCCUGACCUGCCCAAGAAAAAAUUCUUGGAUCUAAAGCUAUAACUAAUAAAAUUAUUGAGCCUAGUGUGUAUGCGACCAUAUCUAUACUAAUUAUCAAAUACAUAAUUUGAUAGUAAAAGCUAAAUGGUCACUUAUGUACCCACAGAAAUUCUUUUUUAAUAUCAUACAUGCAAUUCUCUGAGAGGUUUAAGGUCGAAUUUUUGUUAACAAAUAUACAAGGCACGACCAUAUUCAAUAAAUUAAAACUUUGGAUUAUUGUUGUAACUCAGACUUGUAACCAAGCUUAAUUUUGAAUUGUUAUAACAAUUAAAAUAUAAAAAUAUAAUCCAUGUGUAUCAUGUACUAUAAAAAUUAUCCAAAGAAUCAUUGGAAGGAACAAUCCAUUCACCUUCUUUUGUGUCUCAACAAACUUUUAUUCCCUUUUUGCUGCUUUUUAUCUCAUUCCAAAAGUGUUGCUCUUCUUCCUCUCUGAUUCAAUUAGUGGAGUAAUAAUUGGAUCUAUGAACAGUUGUAGUGCCUUAUGUGACACUUUAGUGGCCAUGAAGCUUGCAGAGAGAGUUAGUAAAUUAGUAGCCUUGGUGCCAUGCUGUGCACAUUUAAUGAUGGAAUGAAGCUCAUGAGACUGAGUUCAUGGGAAAAGUGGUCCUUGUUGACAUCGAAGCGAACAGCGAAAUAAGCCAUAACAGCACGGCGCGUUCAACUUUUUUGGUAAGCAAAAAAGAGAUGUUGAGAGGCACCAGAGGAGUGCUGAUAAUUGCCAUGCAUGCCGGUUUGCCUUGUAGUGUAUCUAAUUCUUCUAUCUUUAUGGCAUUUUGAGAAAGAAGGUGGCCAAUGCUAAGUUUUCACUGCUCAUGAGUGGUUCUUUCCUAUGAUGCUUGCACCAAUUCUGUUGCUCAAGACUGGUUUUAUGAAGUAGGGCCAUGGAUCGAAUGCUAUUCCAUGAACUCAAUGCUUCAGCCCUUGCCAAGAAGACUAUAAGGCGAAUCUUGCACAUUGGCAAUCAGCAUCUCUGAUGUUGAAUAAAUGGAAUGCAAAAUGAGAUUUUAUUUGCUUAGUAGUUUUUAUUCUUGAGUAUUAUAUGCUAGAAAAUAACUAUGGUUCCUNNNNNNNNNNNNNNNNNNNNNNNNNNNNNNNNNNNNNNNNNNNNNNNNNNNNNNNNNNNNNNNNNNNNNNNNNNNNNNNNNNNNNNNNNNNNNNNNNNNNNNNNNNNNNNNNNNNNNNNNNNNNNNNNNNNNNNNNNNNNNNNNNNNNNNNNNNNNNNNNNNNNNNNNNNNNNNNNNNNNNNNNNNNNNNNNNNNNNNNNNNNNNNNNNNNNNNNNNNNNNNNNNNNNNNNNNNNNNNNNNNNNNNNNNNNNNNNNNNNNNNNNNNNNNNNNNNNNNNNNNNNNNNNNNNNNNNNNNNNNNNNNNNNNNNNNNNNNNNNNNNNNNNNNNNNNNNNGAGAGAGAGAGAGAGUGGGGGUGAAUUAUGUUGUGUUUAAUUACACUUCAGAAUCAGCUGCCUUAUGCUGUAGAUAUAGAAGUUUCACAACAAUAUGGGAAGAGUUACAUGAUAUUAUGCUAUUUUUGAUCGGCAAGAAAUCACUAUCUCUACAAUACGCAAUGCAAGUAAGAGCUUCCAAAACUUGAUCUUAGUUUAGUGGUGUGUUCCUUGUAUGCAGUCCUUGAAAUCAAUUAAAUUCUGUUAUCUUGCCGCUCACCUAGGAUGCCGCUGCACAGAUUGCCUAAAGAAUUAAUCCAGCCCCUAAAUUUCAUGACAUUCUGAUAAGAUUUACAAGAUUAUAUAUUUCCUUUUGAUGCAUAGGAAAUGGUUGGCUCUAAGAUACGUAAAGCAAUGUAAUAAAUUUUCAUAAAGAGCUUCCCAAGUCUACAGUUUGUUUCAAUUAUUGUGCAGUAUAUAUGCAAUCCUUGAAGACCAUCAAGCUUCAGAAUCUUCCAACUUCCCAGAAACAUUGCUAUGGAGGUGGCCAAAAUAAUUAUUCCAACCACUAAUCAGAGUUAUUUGGUUGUAGUAUCCAUGACUAACUAGAAGAAAGUAAACUUUUCCUAGAAAUAUAAUACCAUUGAAUUCAAACCACUGCGAGUUCUUCAUUAACUACAUUUCUCCAUUUGGUUUCACAUGUAAACUUUAGCUUGCAAUAAUUAAUUCUUGCUAUAUCUAAGCCUUUCAGACUCUGAUUUGUCCCAUGGCUACUUGUUUGAUUGCAAAGCCGGAACCUAUAUAUUAAUACAUAAAUUCCUUAUUCUAUAUCAGAUCCCAUUUUGAGUUUCAGAGGGUCACAUCCGGCCAAGCCUGAGCUAAAGCAGUUGCAACCUGAGAAGAAGCAUUACUUUCCAAGCAGAAUACAGUCCUAAAGAUUGGUGAUGCAUCAUAAGCCAAAUGGGUGUUUCUCCUCCACCUCCAUUUGUUGGGCUUGUGUCAUCUAUGAUGACCUCAAUGCACCACAACAGUAUGGGCAUAUUGAGUGCCUGGUCAUCUCCAUGAUCUCAGAGCAUAGCUGGGCCUCCCAUUUCCUUUUUACAAUGUUUUUAUUGCUAAUCCGACAUGUAUAGCAACCAAAUGAAUCUUCUGUUCUACUGAAAAGAAGUUGUGUCAUGAGAUGUUGAGAUCUAGUUUCCAAAGUAAGCUUCAUUUAUUCAACAAGUGCUUCCCUUAGCAAUAACCUUCUGGCAUUGUGGAUAUGAGAGAAUCACCAUUCUAUGACAUUAUAUUAUGCAAAUAUAAUGAAGUAUCCUCUAGAAUUAUUUCUUGUAUCCUUGUGCCUAAGACAAUCUUUAUAUUCUUCAUUUUCUUUUGAUCUUCUAUCUUAUAAAUGGAUGAUCUAAGUUUUCAUUAAGAAGAUCACUGGAUUCAAGGAGAAGCAAUUCAGAGCCACUGCAUUGAAUAUAAAUUACAAGUUUAGUGGUGGAUCAAGAAUCAAAAUAAUCAUCAUUAUCCACUAACAUUAGUAACGGAGCAUAAAGGAGUGAUUUGCAGUAAACUAAGUAACAAUUUUUUAAUAACAAGACAUGCAGAGAAUUGUUGUUGUGUUAAGCAUGUGAGUGCUCUUCCCUCAGUGGCUUCCAUAGUGGCUUCCCUGCAGGCCUAAACUUUGUUCUCCAAGUGGCUUAUGUACUAUGGUCAUCAACCACAAUAUAGUGUUGGUUCUGAAUGAGCAAUGAGCUUAUCCAUUUAUAAAGUGUAAUUUGCAGCAUUUGAUACCAUUCCCCACCAACCCCUCUCAGUUGCUGAAUCAAAGAUCCUUCAGUUUCAAUAAGUAUGAAAUGUGGCUAAUCGACAAGUCAAUUGUGGAAUAUAUUAAAAGAAACAUGGUUCCAAGGCAUGCUAAAUUAAUAAUCUUCAAUUUGAGAUAUUUAGCAUGCUUUGGAUCAUGGAAGAUCUUUAUAAAGUAACCAGAAAUUCCAUCAUGUCAGAUUUUAGUGUUUCCAAUAAGGCCUAUGGAUGAAUCAGAGAGACAAACUUAGAAUUAAAUAUUGAACAGUAGUUGGAUUUAUGGUUGCUAGUGUUCUAGUGGCACCAUAAAAGUAGUUUGAUAGCUUAAUGAAUGACCAAUAAGGCAUAUAUGCUGCAAUGAUCUUAGAAGACAAUUAUUCAUCUGAACUCAGCUGUCAAUAGGGAAUAAGCUGUCACUUUCCUAAUUGCAAACACAAUCAUAUAUAUGCCACAAAAUUAGAUAUAUAUAUCAUGGCUUGCAUAUGAAAUUAAUUCCUUGAAAUUACAAGAAGAACACUAGGACGACUUCGUCAAAUACUUCAGAAUUUUCUCCCUUAGUAGUUUAGUUACAAAAAUUUUACGUUAGUUAAACCAAAAUUCUGUUGACCUUGUAUGCUUCUAUGGCAUCCUUAAUAAUAGAUGUGCAUAGAUUUAAAGACGAGAUAUAUCAUUCCUGCUAAUAACUAUGGAGUUCUUACAUGUAACCAAGAGAACUCCACAGGAUACAUUUUUUAUCCAGAAAAGUGUUUCACAAGAAAUUGAAUGAUGCAAUCGAACAUAUUCUGUGUAACAAAUGCCUCCAACUUCAUCAUGCCUGCAAUUCUUCGAAUUUUUCAGGAGUGUUUAUUUAGGAAUAGUGAGGAUGCUCCAUGACCAUGGCUCCAUGUCUAGCUCUAAUUUUUCGCAUUGUUUGUCUGCGCUUGUUACGUGAAAUCAUGCUGCUCUGGGUGAUGCAAUUGAGAGAAUUUUGGUAUGAUGCUCUUAGUGGAGCCACUUUCACUUAAGGAAUAUAAUGUGGCAUCUUUUAGGUUAGCGACAAUUAUUUACUAAUGAAGGCAUUCAGAUCAUAUAGGUUUCUUGAUCCCUAUCAGCAAUUUCAAAUUACUAUGAUAAAUAGAGUUUUCUGUGGUUCUUGCGAAUGACAGAGGGAUAACAGGCCUUUCAACUUAAAUAAGAUACAGUAAAAACUCUAGUGCAGGUUAUAAGGCAGAGGCUAAGGGUAAACAACAGUAUCACACACAAAGGAAAAAAAUCAACACAAAUAAGCCAAAGUAAAAGCUUAAAAACUGGAUAUUAAUUUUGGAGGUUCGUUAUUGACGAAUUUAUCUGUAGUUAUAAGUCAUUGAAACAUUUGCUGUGGAGCCAAGGAAUGAGAUGAUAAGCUUAUCAUUUAGAGAAUACUUAGAUACAACAAAUCUCUUAAAUGAUAUGAUAAAGAAGGCAUUGGUUGAUACAACUCUCUAUGCUUUUGGCAGGAUUCUAUGCAUGCAUCACAAUUGGGAUGGCUAGUCAGCAUAAUUCAAUGUGAUCCACUAAGGAUUUUUAACAUAGGGAGGGGUAUCAAACAGCACAUCAAUCAACACCUUGUUCGGAGUUUACAAUUAAUGUGGAGGGGAAGUGGGGAUAAUAUAUAUUGUUCCCCAUGAACUUGUGUGGCAACUCGCCCACUUAGUGGUAUGUGUGUCGGAAAUGGAAACCCGGAAUCGAAUUUCUUUUCUAUUUUCAAUUGGAAAGCUGUCGGCUUGGAGUGAUGCAAAUCUCUUAGUGCUUGCUCACAGUCAUCAGCUAUACCUGCUUCAUCUUGUUCCAUAUAGCUCAUGACAUGACACAGUUCUUUGCCGAUUGGUAGAAGUAUACACUUGAGUCCUCAUUUGAAAAAAAAGGAAAACCCUUAACGUACCUUAUAGGGUCAUAUCUUAUUAUCAUCAUUAUUAUUAUUCAAAGUAUUAUAUAUUGCUUGUAAGGUUUUUUUAUUUUUUUAUUUUUUUGAGAAAGAGAACUAGAGUAAGCCCAGCCAAUAUUUUUUAUAUAUUACUUGAGUGGGUUAGACCAUAUGCCAAGACUACUAAAUUCCAAACUUGGAAUGGUAUAGUGUUGGUUUUCUUUCUGGUACCUGAUAGUAUGUAUCGAAAUUGAAAAUAUUGAAAAGAAUGAUAAGCUCUUAGCACCGAUAAUAAGGUCGGUAUGGUCGUACAUAUUGGUAUGCAUCUGUACAGCAAUUAAGUCCUGUGUAGAUGAUUUUGGUGUCUUAGCCCCUAUAUUAGUGGCAAUUUUAUAUUAGACUAGGAUGGUAUCGGCAGUACUAUUCUAUUUCAACAAUUUUUUGAAUUCAUGCUAUGCGCUAUCAAUUUUUUUAAGUACAUAUAAAAAUACAUAUAAAAGUUUUAUUUUUAAAAGUUUAAAUUAGCUAAUAGAUAAGCAUAAUAGAUAGGAAGAAAAGUUAGACUGCUGGAUUAGGUUCCCAGCACAUAAUCACCACCCUAAAGAUCAUAAAGGAUAUUAAUUAGUGGGACGAGACACAUUGAGACGACCACAAGACCUAUGAGCACUUCUUCGUAGAAAAAUACAAGAUGAUGCUUGGCUUAUGAGUAUCCGAUAAUAGAAUUUGAUUUUGAAGGCUAUGUCAAGCAUGGUCCAAGGAGCACUUUCAUAUGAAUUAGUCAAAAGAGAAGUUUCACCUGUAUCAAAAUAGAAAUUUCAAACAAAAAAAUUUGUUAUAUCUGGUAUUAAAAUAGCUUUUAAAUGCAUCUGAAAUUACCUAAAAUGAAGCUUGGAUGAGGAAGUUACGGCCACUUUACUAAAGAGGUGUCAAGAAUGAUGAAGUUCUAGAUAUUAAUGAAAAUACCAUUCUAUGGCUUAUUAAUUUGAGGAUGAUUUUUUAUUUUAUCCAAAAUUUAAUUACUUCUUUCUUCUAGAAAGUCUUAUAAAAUGAGUUAGAAGUUCAAUAGAACUUAAAUAAUUAUAUUUUACUAUUUUUGAUAUUAUAUUUUAUUUCUUUUAGGUAAAUUGUAUCUUAUGAAAAUUAAGAAAAGUUUAUUGGCUUUAGAAAAUCUUUUCCAUAAAUUCCUCCCCAGUAUACUCAAUUUUCAUCAAUCAUUCAAAGCUAAUGGAAGUUUUUUCUUUCCCUUUUUAUCAAAUUCCUCUCAAAUUCUUGUGUCGUAAGAGGCUUCUUAGGAGCCUAUGGUGUGAGGCAACGACUUGGAAGAAGAUAUUAGUAAGAGAUAGGGAUUCUUCUUCCAAGGCCUUGUGAAGAUCUAAGGUAUGAGGUUGAAGAUCCAACAAGAAGGGAAGGUACUAGGCCUUCUAGUAUUCCUAUAGUUUUAGAUUAUUCUUUUUUUUCCUACUUUUAGUUUUAGUUCUUUUCUUUAUUUUUUUAAUUUCUAUUUCUUUUUUUUGAUUCUAGUUAAAAUUCUACUUAUAAUUCUUGCUUCAAGUUUUCUUUUUGUCAUGCUACUUCGAUCUCAUGUGAGGUGUUUCACUAGACUCCUUGUUUGUAUUACUUGUACUCACCUAGGCUAGGAUCUUACUGAAUUGUCGUACUGAAUACACUUCAAGUGGCACUCACUGAAGUAGGUUUAGCAAGCAUGGGCCAAACUAAGCAUCCACUAUACAUGUAUAUUCUUUUGGAAGGUAGAAGGUUGGGAUUUUCUAUCUUUAACUUACGAGAAGGUAGAUCAAGGAGUUUUGAACCUGAUCCUUCAUCUUAGCAUGAAUAUAAGAAAAAUAAAGAAAAUAAAAGAAGAUACAAAAAGAAGCUCUGAGAGGAAGCGAUUCAGAUCUUAGCAAAAGAAACAUCGAUCUAAUUAAAUGAAACCAUAUUGAUUCCUAUUCUAAUAUGAAUUAUAGGAUAUCUCAUGUAAUUAUGUCACCUAGUAUGGAAUUGAAGAUAAUCGGCAAGGGAAAUUAAAGAAAGGGAAGGAGAAGGGCUUAUGUAGAUCGCCUUGCUAAAGCUUCCCUUUAGGAGAGGGCCCUUUGGGAAAAUCCCUUCUGCCUUAGAGCUCCUUCUAACUCUUUAGAUGUUAAGAUUUAGCUUUCUUGGAUGGUGUUGGGUAGGAUCCAAGAUACGAAGAAGCGAUCACAUAAGAGAGAUUGCCAUGGAUUUGAGCUUUCUCUUUUUUGACAUUUCUUCUCUUGGAAAAGUGGAAGGGAUUUUCUAAAUCUAUCCAAAAGGCUCUCUAGAAAUUUUUUCCAAAAAAAAUGUUUAAGAAGAAGCCCCUACAAGCUUAGAAUUGGGAGUAUUUAUGGGACAAAAGGUUCAGAUGUAAGGUUUUAGAGUAAGAUAAGAUUUCUCUUACCCGUGCAGGGGG